UACGUAGGGUGCGAGCGUUGUCCGGAAUUAUUGGGCGUAAAGAGCUCGUAGGCGGUCUGUCGCGUCGGAUGUGAAAGCCCGGGGCUUAACUCCGGGUCUGCAUUCGAUACGGGCAGACUAGAGUGUGGUAGGGGAGAUCGGAAUUCCUGGUGUAGCGGUGAAAUGCGCAGAUAUCAGGAGGAACACCGGUGGCGAAGGCGGAUCUCUGGGCCAUUACUGACGCUGAGGAGCGAAAGCGUGGGGAGCGAACAGGA
rnacentral:rRNA from 1 species